AGAGUUUGAUCAUGGCUCAGGACGAACGCUGGCAGCGUGCCUAAUACAUGCAAGUCGAACGAACUCUGGUAUUGAUUGGUGCUUGCAUCAUGAUUUACAUUUGAGUGAGUGGCGAACUGGUGAGUAACACGUGGGAAACCUGCCCAGAAGAGGGGGAUAACACCUGGAAACAGAUGCUAAUACCGCAUAACAACUUGGACCGCAUGGUCCGAGUUUGAAAGAUGGCUUCGGCUAUCACUUUUGGAUGGUCCCGCGGCGUAUUAGCUAGAUGGUGAGGUAACGGCUCACCAUGGCAAUGAUACGUAGCCGACCUGAGAGGGUAAUCGGCCACAUUGGGACUGAGACACGGCCCAAACUCCUACGGGAGGCAGCAGUAGGGAAUCUUCCACAAUGGACGAAAGUCUGAUGGAGCAACGCCGCGUGAGUGAAGAAGGGUUUCGGCUCGUAAAACUCUGUUGUUAAAGAAGAACAUAUCUGAGAGUAACUGUUCAGGUAUUGACGGUAUUUAACCAGAAAGCCACGGCUAACUACGUGCCAGCAGCCGCGGUAAUACGUAGGUGGCAAGCGUUGUCCGGAUUUAUUGGGCGUAAAGCGAGCGCAGGCGGUUUUUUAAGUCUGAUGUGAAAGCCUUCGGCUCAACCGAAGAAGUGCAUCGGAAACUGGGAAACUUGAGUGCAGAAGAGGACAGUGGAACUCCAUGUGUAGCGGUGAAACGCGUAGAUAUAUGGAAGAACACCAGUGGCGAAGGCGGCUGUCUGGUCUGUAACUGACGCUGAGGCUCGAAAGUAUGGGUAGCAAACAGGAUUAGAUACCCUGGUAGUCCAUACCGUAAACGAUGAAUGCUAAGUGUUGGAGGGUUUCCGCCCUUCAGUGCUGCAGCUAACGCAUUAAGCAUUCCGCCUGGGGAGUAC
rnacentral:rRNA from 1 species